UGGUAAGAGCACCAGGCUCAUCAAGGUGGUAGACACGUCUUUGGGCAACUGGUGCCCACGUCCUUGGGCCUUUGAUGGCAAUCCUUCAUAAAAUACUGAGUGCUCCCACACUUAUAGCAGAAGUUGUUCAAACGUCAUUCAGACUGAUCAUCGUGAAAGCAUCCACAAUGCUGGCAUGAUGGGUAGGUCUAGUAGGGUUUCUAAUGAGUGGGGGUAGGGCAGGAGCAGGGGCAACACAGGGUCUCUUGUCAAGAUGAUCAUUGCCAAGGUCUAGCAACCUUCUCCUCCGUUGUUGUGGCCAACACUACUGCUAUUGGGUGCGGAUUUGAGUGACGCAUUGGUGUCAGGCAAAGAUGAGAUAUUUAGCAAACUGAGCAUGUUGAAGCACCUUGGCAUACGAGUUGGGCCUCAGUAUUGGUACUCGAUCGUAGAUAUCUACAUGGAAACCCUUC
rnacentral:lncRNA from 1 species